rnacentral:rRNA from 1 species
UACGUAGGGGGCGAGCGUUGUCCGGAUUUAUUGGGCGUAAAGGGUGCGUAGGCGGCGCGGUAAGUCGGGUGUGAAAUCUCGGAGCUUAACUCCGAAACUGCAUUCGAUACUGCCGUGCUUGAGGACUGGAGAGGAGACUGGAAUUUACGGUGUAGCGGUGAAAUGCGUAGAUAUCGUAAGGAAGACCAGUGGCGAAGGCGGGUCUCUGGACAGUUCCUGACGCUGAGGCACGAAGGUCAGGGGAGCAAACGGG